rnacentral:rRNA from 1 species
UACGGGGGGGAGCGAGCGUUGUUCGGAAUCACUGGGCGUAAAGGGCGCGUAGGCGGCUGAAUAAGUCAGAGGUGAAAUCCCAGGGCUUAACCUUGGAAUUGCCUUUGAUACUGCUCGGCUAGAGGACGGAAGAGGAUAGUGGAAUUCCUGGUGUAGCGGUGAAAUGCGUAGAUAUCAGGAAGAACACCGGUGGCGAAGGCGGCUAUCUGGUCCGUUACUGACGCUGAGGCGCGAAAGCCAGGGGGAGCAAACGGGG